UACGAAGGGGGCCAGCGUUGCUCGGAAUGACUGGGCGUAAAGGGCGCGUAGGCGGUUUGUACAGUCAGGUGUGAAAUUCCCGGGCUCAACCUGGGGGCUGCACUUGAUACGUAGGAACUGGAGUGGGGAAGAGGGUCGUGGAAUUCCCAGUGUAGAGGUGAAAUUCGUAGAUAUUGGGAAGAACACCGGUGGCGAAGGCGGCGACCUGGUCCUUGACUGACGCUGAGGCGCGAAAGCGUGGGGAGCAAACAGG
rnacentral:rRNA from 1 species